GUGGGAGGGGGCUUGCCCCCGAUGGCAGUGGGUCAGUCAAUGAAUCUGUUGACUGAUACACCGACAUCGGGGGCAAGCCCCCUCCCAC
rnacentral:antisense_RNA from 1 species